GCCGGAUUGCCCCUCUCACUUUUGCUGUUUGUUUUGUAGUUUCCUAUCAGACAGAUUAAACUGACUCCUCCAAAGAAAUUCCCAGUAAAACUUCAUAAAUGGACAUAUUUUGAAGAAGAUAAAGCAUUCAUUGAAUUCAUAUCUGUUGCAGACAAUCGUGCAAAUGAUUAUGAUUGAAGAGGGUUACCAAUUAUGUAAUAUCUCUAAAGCAAAAGCAUCACCUUUCAUAUACUUUAUCAUAUACCAUUCAUGUGUACUGGUGAAAUCAAUGUGAUGCAACAUUUUAAAAACUUCUCUUUACUUUUGCACAUAAAAUUUUAUUUUUAAAAACAUUUAAUUAUCUUUAAGUACAGUAAUAUUAUGUUAAUAUUUUUUUU